rnacentral:rRNA from 1 species
GACGAACGCUGGCGGCGUGCUUAACACAUGCAAGUCGAACGAAGUGGCGAACGGGUGAGUAACGCGUAAUCAACCUGCCCUUCAGAGGGGGACAACAGUUGGAAACGACUGCUAAUACCGCAUACUGAAGGAGGGGAUUGCGUCUGAUUCGCUAGUUGGCGGGGUAACGGACGACCAAGGCGAUGAUCAGUAGGCGGUUUGAGAGGAUGAACGGCCACAUUGGGAAUGAGACACGGCCCAGACUCCUACGGGAGGAAGCAGUGGGGAAUCUUCCGCAAUGGACGAAAGUCUGACGGAGCAACGCCGCGUGAGGGAUGACGGCCUGCGGGUUGUAAAGCUCUGUUAAUCGGGACGCGGUACCGGAAUAGAAAGCAACGGAUAACUACGUGCCAGCCGCCGCGGUAAUUC